rnacentral:tRNA from 1 species
AUUCCGGCGUAGCUCAGCGGUAGAGCAGUUGACUGUUAAUCAAUUUGUCGUAGGUUCGAUCCCUACCGCCGGAGCCAA